ensembl:ncRNA Y102A11A.14 ncRNA
UUCACUCAAAUAUUUUGAUUCUCAACACUUUUCUUAUCAGCUUUUCGACUCGGUAAAUCGAAUAGAUAAAGCGAUUAGUAAGGUGUUAAAGUAAACUAAAACUUAAAGCGACUCUUUCAAAAUGCUAAAUUUUCAUUGACCUGCAAU